GCGCCACAGCGGAAAGCGGCGGGAGGGGUAAGUAAACCCUCCCGCCGUUCUUAGCUACCCCCCACCCCAGUGCCAGACCGCAGUUUGCGGUUCCGUGCACACCCCUAGUUUUGGAAUAUGCUUUUAGAAGUGGAGAAGAGGCUGACACAAGGGCUCACCUGGGGUAAAUAUUCAAGCAUUCACUCCUACCUGUAUGGGAGUGACUUAAUCAUGAUCAGCAAUUACAUUGCUGGCCGAACAUUUAGAUUACUUGAGCAUGUGGAUGGGCCCUGAUUGCAGGAGUGCUUCUUAUGGUUUGUCAGUGGUGAAGCCCAAGCAGAUGCUGGAAACAUUAUCAUAAAGUUGAUGCCAUAAAAAGGAGUUGGGUUUGGAUUUCAUGUCAGUGAUAAAUGCCCAACCUCAGUUUUCUUUCUUUUUAAAAGACGUUUGGCAAUCAUGAAUUGGCCAUUAGUAGUUCCUCUUAUCUAGCAGGUUUGUAGGUCUGUUACUUCCAUGCAAGGGGCAUGUUUAGUUACUGAAUAAAGACUAGAAUUUUGUUAGAAGAUUAUCCCAGACAGCCUGUGGCCACCAAGACUAAGACCCAAACAGUUCCCACAAGUGCUUCCUUGUUUAGCAUAGCAAACUCCUUUUUCUGUUGCAUGGUAAUACCAGACACUGAGGCUGUGGCUGCUGUGAUUUCCAGUGAACAGCUAAAUUUGUUUUCUGUGCAUUUCUGCGGAAACUAUUUGUAGAAGUUUAAAGAAUGUAAAAGCAAUGUUAUUAAAAUAAUUCUUGGCCGUAGGUUGUGUUGAUUCAUUGCAGUUCAAGAAGAGCACUUGUAAUGGACCCCAAGGUGGUUGGAUUCAUUUUGGUGAAGGUACAGGAAGCAUUUCCAUGAUCCUUAAGCAGCUUAUCAGAGUUGAGUCCUCAAAGAAGUGAUCAUUACAGAAGGAGCUGUCACUAUCAACCUGGAAUGUCUUUAUUGCUACCAAAGCUAUGUUAAGCUUGUGUUACACACUAAUAAAUACAAGUCAGAUAUAUGAUGAACAUGUAACAGAGAUGUAAAUGUCGGGGUGGGGGUGGGGAUACCCGAAUUCUAGAGUUACUUAUACAUUUUCUCUGAGAUGUGAGGGGUUGUAGGAUUUACACACACUAUUUGGCUGUACAGGGUUAUUGGAAUGUUCUCAUAUCACUGAAAUCAAAUCUGUGAUGCAGUCCUUGUUGAAAAACAUCUUCACUUGCUUAGUAGGUUCUCUGUCAGCUUCCCUGCUAGCAGAUAUUUAGCAGAUGGGGGUGGUAAUCCAGAUCAGAACCAUGGCACGGGAAGAGGGUUAACCCACUGUGGUCCCGAUCCUAUUUUACCAUAAAUAACCAGUAGAAGGCCACAUCUCCUCUGGGCCAAGUAAGCCACAGGCUUGUAACUGCUAAUCAUUUAGGCUGUAAUAUUUUGAAGCCAGGCAAGCAGUCUGUUUGCACAUCAGCCUCUUUAAGAAGAAAAUCCUCUGGGAACCAGCUGCCUUCAGGAGGCUGUUGUGACAAAGUUUGAGGGAGCUUGCCUGCUUUAUAAUGCAAAACCAGUCUCCCAUUUGAUUGCUGAAAGCAAAAAUGUGCUUAUCUUCUGUAUCUGCAGUUCCCUCCCUUGCCCCCCACAGAUUUGAUUGACUUCCUUUUGUGUUGAGCUUGUACUGGAUAAAAGCAAGAACAAUGAGCCUCCCAGAGGUAAUUAAGGAGUUCAUUUGGGUACUGAUUUGAAAAAGAAAAGCUCCCAAGUGUGUUGGCUACCUUUUUGUUGUUUAAAGUGUGUUUAAUUCUAGCUGUGCUUGUAGUAUUGCACAUUUCAAGCUCUGUUUCUGAAUUGUAAAGCCUCGACUCAUAUAAAAACAAGAGUGCAAGAGUUGGUGGUGAUCACUAUUCUUGAUCUGGACACGAUUUCGCCUCAAUCCAUGUGUCCAAGGCACCAUUUGCUAAUAGUAGUUUGUUGUUGUUUUUUUUGGCGGGGGGGGGGUGAAUCUUGGGUCAUCUAUAAUGCUUACUCCACAUGAGCCUUUUAAGCCUGUCAGGGAGGGUACAGGCUAGGGUUGCCGUAUUCUGGCUCUCCAAAUCUGGGUGCCUAAUUUGCAUAUUGUGUAAAUUGGCUUGAAAAUAUUUUUUGAGCAGAAGAGUGACUGCAUGUUUUGCUCCAUAACUCUGCUUCUUCAAGGGCUAGAGCUUAGCUUUCUUUCUUUCUUUUUUUAAGAAGAAAGCUGAAAUCCAGGCGAAUCUGAAAUCCAGGCGAAUCUUAAGCAAUCAGUGAGAUGCUUAAAAUCUGAGUGAAACCCAGAAUUUCGGAGGGCAUGGCAACUAGACAGGCAGAUGGUUGGAGGCUGUAAUCAGUGUUUCAUUAAGGGAGGGCAAGCUACCACCAUGCCUCAAGGAGAAGUGCUGGGGAAUCCAAAAUUCCCAAGAUCCAAAAUCAGGUGCUGGGGAACUACUGCUCAAUUCCUUGAUCAUUGGCUUGUGGGGUCCUACAGGGUUGGUUUUGUCCCCCAUACUAUUUAACUUCUACAUGAAACCCCUGGGAGCAGCCAUUUGGGGACUUGGCAGCAGUGCAACUGUGUGUGUGCUUGCUUGCGUCCCCUGAUCCUAGGGAGACAGUGGAUAUCCUGAAUUGGGGGCUGGAAACAGUGAUGGGCUGGAUGUGUGCUAGUAAAAUGAGAUUGAAUCCAGACAAGAUGAAGGUGCUGUUGGCCAGUAGGAGAGCCAGUUGUAGGGUUAGGAGCAUAGGAAGCUGCCAUAUACGGAGUCAGACCAUUUAUCUAGCUCAGUAUUGUCUUCACAGACUGGCAGCGGCUUCUCCAAGGUUGCAGGCAGGAGUCUCUCUCUCUCAGCCCUAUCUUGGAGAUGCUGCCAGGGAGGGAACUUGGAACCUAGAUGUUCUUCCCAGAGCGGCUCCAUCCCCUGAGGGGAAUAUCUCCCAGUGCUGCUCACACAUCAAGUCUCCCAUUCAUAUGCAACCAGGGUGGACCCUGCUUAGCUAAUGGGACACGUCAUGCUUGCUACCACAAGACCAGGGUUGCCAACUGUCCCGCACUAUGUGGGAUGUCCUGACUUUCAUCAGGGAAAUGCUCAUCCCGUUUGGGAUGCAGUUUCUCCCGCUUUUGCACCUUGAGUUUUUUUUUUUUUUUUAAAUAAAACUGCCACUGAGGGGCAGCAGAGCAGGGCAGCAGCAAGAGCUCUCCUGCCUUGCAAACUAUGAAAGGAAUGGCUGCUCUCUGGGGCCAGGGCUGACUGGGGCGAGUGGUGCACUGGUGAGUGGCGACAGGCGCACUGCUGCUAAAAGAAAGCCUGGAGAGCACUCACUGUUGCGGCCACCGGCCACUCACCGACUCUGACUGCAGGAGGCGGGCGGGCGAAAGGCUCCCGUCCUUGGCCCUGCCUUCCUCUAAAUGGGGCAGACAGGCCAAUUUCAAGCUUCUGCACACAGCACGGGGCUAGUGCUCCAGCUUUCUCGAGAAGGCAGACCUGGCCACAGUUGCCUACACCUUAAUCACGUCAUGGCUGGAUUACUGUAAUGUGCUCUACGUGGGGCUGCCCUUGAAGAAUCUUUGCAAACUUCAGUUGGUGUUAUAUGUGACAGCUAGGAUUGGGACCAUAUUCCACCCAUUCUGAAAGCGCUAUAUUGGCUGCCAGUUUGUUUCUGGGACCAAUGCAAGGUGCUGGUUCUGCUCUUUAAAGCCCUUAAUGUUUUGGGCCCUGGAUAUCUGAAAGACUGCCUGCUCCCAAGGGUUUCUGCCUGCUUUGACAAGGUCAUCGGAGUGGGCUCAGCUUUGUGUGCUGGCAAUGAAGGAGGCUCGGCUGUCCUGCACACGGGGCAGGGCCUUCUCAGUUAUUGUCUCCAGGAUUUGGGAUGCUCUCCUGGUGGGCAUCUGCUUUCCAGUCUCCAUUUCAGAUUUUAGAAAGCAACUAAAAUCACGGCUUUUUACCCAGACUUUUAUGAGUGCUUUCUCUUUGUUGCUAUUUCUGUGCUGUGUCGCAUGGUUUUAUUGUGUUUAACUUUUUAAAAUAGAUUUGUAUGUUUUCCUAUAUUCCUAUUUAAUAUUUAUAUUGUGUUAACUGUUUAAUAGUUUUGUACAUUAAAUUUAUUGUAAACCACCUUGAGAUUAUUUUGCUCAUUUAAAACAAACCCAAGGGGUUUUUUUUAUUUUGGGAUUCUGAACCUCGCAAAUCCCCAUUUGCCUUAACACAACAUUUCAAAGGGUUUGAAACCACUGUCUCAUCCUGGUGUAAUAUCUGGCUUGCUAACAAACUGCAGUUAGAACAAACCAGAAUUUGCUGGUUCUGCACACAACAAAUAAUCCCAGAUUAUGCUAAAGCAAGCACAAAGGCAGCAAACUUCCUUUCCUCACAAUCAAGCCUGAAACUCAUGCUAGGAAUCCCAGAAGGGCUUUUUUUAGGUAGAAUAAGCUUUUAAAGACUGCCUGGCAUUGUCAUGUAACUUUAAUCAUAGCUGCUGUUCUACUUAUAUUAUCUGCUUGUCUCUUAUUGUGUGUUUUUCUUUUUUAUUCUUUUAUCAUGGAUUUUUCUUCUUCUUGUAAGAUGCCCUGAGCAGCAGUGUGCUGGAGGGGCAGGAUAUAACUAUUUUAAAUAAAACUAAAUCAUGAUUUUGUAUCUA